UGGCGCGUUGAAGCAUACGGGACGUUUUCAGUGUAUAAAGUGAACAUUUGUGGAUAAAUUACGCUUAAAGUGUUUAUAAAAAGCGAUUAAAUUGUCUCAGUGAAAGGCUAGGAAGUGUCGGUGUGUAAACUUUUCCACAUUAGUGUUGAAUUCAAGCUGGCUUGAAUCUCCCGGGUCGAAAGUGUUGACAAAUGACGCUUUCUAAGAAAGGGGAGAAAAAUCGCUCACCAUUAAAUCAUACCUGCUUCGAGCAGUAUGCAGCGAGCAGAUGCUGCUACAACAACACACUUUCUUUCGCCCACGGCGAUGCGUUGCGCAUCCUUAACGUGCCGCUGCAAGUGCACUUUUAUUUGCACUCACAAUGAAAUAAUAACAAAUGGUUUUGCAUUUCCCAUGCCGUCACCGAGCAAGGUUUGAUAUUGGCUGGCCGGCUGCUCCUGCUGGCUGCGAGUUGCCAGUCGCCGGGGAUUGGUUUUCUGACGGUGAUUGUGGUUUCCUGUUUUGAAGACGCUCAACACCUUGCCCGACCGUUAUGCAUCUGUUCCGGCGCAACGUCACGAUUUCGCUGUACCGAAAGUUUGGUUUUUCCAGCUAGUGGAAACCAGCAAAUACCGGGGGCAAUAGAUUAUCCUGUGUAUGUGUGUGGGGUUAAAAAAAGUGGGAUUUUGAAGUUUUUUGUUAUUGGGGAGUGUCUUGUAAGAAACGACUUGUUUUUUUUUUUUAUAACGAACCGCUCGUCACUCGUUUUGUUACACUGGGAAAGUCGUGCUUGGGGGUUUACUUGCCGUACCGCGGAACCAUUUUCUGUGGUUCGUAUUAUUGUGGUUGCGUGGUAGAGUAUUGAUAUGCGGACCAGGCCGAGAAAAAAAAAACAUGCAAGAUGAACCUCCAAACGAUCUGUCUUGUCCGCAUGACAACUCUAGAGUAAUGUAAGUAAGAAAAACGGCUUUCAAAAUGUGCUGUAUGCGUGGCAAAGCAGAGCAGCACAUUAUAAUUUUAAUGUCCUUUAGAGUGAAACAGCUUACCCAACAAUCUGCGGUGUUGGUAAUACGCGCACUAGUACGCCUCAUAUCGUACCCAAUCUGGUACACGCCGGUUGAGGAAGCGAGCAGGUUGAGGUGGAGGACGGGUGAGAGGGGGGGGGGGGGAACCAGAUGGGCCCUCAUGAUGAUAUGUGGGGUAUUAGCUAAGAUGCGAACUGCUAGGUUCCUUCACCUUGUGGCUAACCGCAAAAGCAAUAUAUGUGACGUGUACAUCACAUUCAGCGCAGCAAUAUGGGGUAGAAGGCUGUUGGGUCUCAGUGUCACACUGACGAUCGGACGGGGUCGAGGGUGGUGUGAACCAUUUUCCUUGAAGCGUUCAAGAGGCAUCUCCAAGACAGAUGAGCCAACACGGCAAGUCGCAACAAUGAAGUGUGUGAUGUUGCAUCGAAGUUUGACGGGAGUUAAGUUUUGCUUGGAAGAACUUCACUAACGACAGCGUUGUUGGAAUCUAGGUUCUUCAGUGUUUGUAAGGAUUUCUCGGACACGUUCCCGCCUGUGAUUAUUUUGACUAAAAGGAGACAUCCGACAUUGGUCAGCCAUUUGCUAGAAACCCCGCCGGGACACACCAACAGGGUUGGAAAAAAUUUCCAUUUUCCAAGCGCACACAGUAGCGAGAGAUUAGGUUGUUGGAUGGCGAUAUAUCUUCCUCGAUUCUUUGGUUGGGGUUUUUGAAGCGAGUGGAGUAGCAAAAAAAAAAAGAUCUAUAUAUACACUGGAGCUAGAGUAUGGCUGCUCAUGUAGCUGGAGUCUGUGUGGGAGGAUGCAUUAGCUGAGCGCAAACUACCCGUCAAGCGUCUGGUGGAGUUUGGUUAGUUUUGUGUGUGUUUUUUUGGUGACAGCCUGGGGUCUUGGGGUUUUGGUACGGGGAGGAAAAAAAGGGUUCUAUUCCAAAGUAGGAGAAAGCGAGCUAGAGUGAGAGAAAUAGUUUUGGGGUGGCGAAGUUAGAUCUCUAAACGUUGCGACGACGCUGCGUGCUAGAGCGAGCAACACAAAAAAAAGAGAGAGAGAGCCAAGUAAUGUUUUCCAAACGCACCACAUUAGCCGUACUCAUCUGGGGGAAAUGCGUUGCCGGCGCAACGGAGCACCAGCAUCAUCCGAAAGAGCCGGAAAGAAAAGCUGCCGGAAAACUUCUUUUUCCAUUUCGGGGCAAAGAUGCUCGCUGUGUGCGAGUGAGCAGGCAGACAGUGUCUAACCAAAAGAAUGGGCGGUCUGAAAUGAGAUUUCUGUUGGCGAGGAAAAACUCCGACGGUCCUCGGACCGUUCGGGCUGACGAUGGUGCUGAUGAUGAUGAUCGUGGUGGUAUGCUUCCCGGUCACGGGUGCCGAACCAAGACAAUUUUCUUCUGUCCCGUGGAAGAAUGUCGGCCGAAAAGCCGAGAAGUGCGGGAGGUGCGGGCGUUGGACAGGUGUGACACCUUCAUGGGCGAACCACGAGAUGGUUGGUUUGCGUUGGUUUGGGGCCUGCUUGUUGCUUGCAAGCCGGGGAACCGGGGGCAGGCAGAAAAACGGCAAACCGAACGUUACACCUCCACCUGGAGCCACCUUUUGUGGCAAUACGCGAGACCGCUCGGGGUUUGGUGAACGGCACAAUAAGUGUGGAAUGUAAAACCAACCCGGUUCGGUUGCCACGAGAUGCUCUGUUGUGGACCACGCUGGCAGGAAUCAUUCGGUACGGAGGUUGGUUGUUGGCUUGAUGCUUCGCCAGUAACAUCACACAGCGCCAGUAAUAGCAUAUGCAAAUAUUUUGGAAACAAUAUUGAUCCUUCGGAUAUACGCAACGCCCCAACACCAGCAGAGCAUAGCUUUGAACUUUGAAGCGAUGCCUCGCGUACGGCAAUUCUACGCUCAGCCAGGUUGAGCUUUCGGUCCACGCUUAAAAGAAGAUUAGUGUCCCCGGCAUUAAUUGUGUAGCUAGUUUGUUGCUACCGGGGGUUUGGCUCUUCGUUUUGGACGAACUAAUCCCCUGAUGAUUUGAUGCGGCUCAACAUCUGAAGACCUCCCAGAGUUGCAGAGUUCGCUGGGUUUUUUUUUUCUCGCACGUUCACACGAUUGAAGUUUGCCGACGGCGAAAAACGACGUCUCAUAAAACCCGUAAGCACCCAUCCUCAUAUGCAUUCAUCUUCAUAAUCGGUGCCGGCGCCGUACAGACAUUGUGUGAUUCCCGCCAUUCGCGGGCAAGAUUUUGGUGGAUGCUCUCGCAAAAAUCGCGCCCCCUCUAUAAAUCUCUACCGGCGAAGGUGCACAAGAUGAAACCGCGGGCUAAGGGUUCGCUGCCGCACAGAUGCGUUAAGACAUUCGACGUGAGCGACGGAGAUACACAAAAAAAAAGCACCGACAGUACACACAACAUCAUCAACGUCAGGACCGAUGUGCUGUGAGCUUACGCUGGAUGGGGAAUUGAUCGCUCAAUAAAUAACGACAGGACGGAAUAAAUCCGGCAGGGCUUUCGUCUCGGGCCCGGGGAUACAUUGUACCGAAUGGGAGACACGGGCAGGAUACGAAAGGACUUCAAACUUUGUCGUCGAUGUCGGGGACGCUCGUUCUGGGCCGAUGUGUGGCCAAAUGUUUGUUGCGCCGGUUAGAAGUCACGAGGCAGGCUUCCGGAAGGUUUGGGUACGAACUUAAUUUAUGGUUAGAUUCUGUUGGCCUGUCAUUCACUGCCGUGCGGACAAACUCUGGCUGACAGGGUGCUUGGGGGGGAGGGGGUGGCUCGCUGGCAAUGUUCGUUCGCUGGUAAGUGACAAUGUAUUGACAAUGAUGGAGAUGCCAAAGUUGGACGUCUGAUUGACUAGCGGGCUGGUGGAUUUAAACUUUAAGCGCUUUAAAAUAGGAACGAUAUGUGUGUGGAGAGCUUCACAGUUGAGAUGUUACAAUGUACGGUUCAGUAAAGACAUCGUCGUCCAGACUUGCUACCAAGCGUACCGAGCGUAAAGACGAUAAAGUUUAUCGCUUCUCCGAUUGCGGUCAGCGUAACGUAGCUACGGGCUGCCUCUUACUCUCGAUAAGCGUCCGUUCCCUGGUGCGACACAGUAAUAGCUUGCCCUGUUUUCCCGUCAUAUUUCAUCUACGCUUUGAAGGAAGUCAUACGCGAAAGUCAAACAAUCUCCCAAAAAAAAAAAAAAAAAAUGGGCUCAUUUCUAAUCAGCUUACCCCGCGCGGCAAACGGUUGACCGAUAAAACAUCGCCCGGCUACUGACAUCUAAUCUCGCCCGACCCAUUUGCUUUGUCCCGGCCGGCUAAUGAGGUUACAAACACCGUGAGAACGCAACGCAACCCUUUUCCGAACAUCUGAAAAUGGCGUAUUGAUUUUGAUUUACGCGGGAUUUUGUCGGAGUGUGAGAGGUGGCCUACAACCACCGCACGCGUGACUUCAGAUUCUGUCGGCAAAGCAUCUCGUUAGACACUAUCGAAUGUCUCGUGUCGGUAAUCGUGUACUCUGCCUUCGGACCGUCCGUUGGACGUUUCUCCUUUGUACGUACGUCCCCAAGUAAUGGCUGCGAAGAAGAACGUGAACCAGGGAGGACUUUGGAGUGCAAAAAAAAUCCGCAGGGCUACAUGUCACUUUAAUUAGUCUGAUUGGUGUACCAUAAUACGGUAGGUACUGGACAAUGCUUCACCGCUCGUCAAUGACACACAUACGCAAACGAAAGCAAAAACACGCCUCGUCCGACAUGCUUGGAACAUUGGGGGAUAAGGCAAAAAAAGGGGUUUAAAAUUCCACAAAAGGAUACAACUGUAGUUUGCCAGCGCUCUAGUUGCAGUUGGUCCCGGUUAGCUCCCCCCAGGCUACCACGGACGCUCGGCUAUGGGGACGUUGCUUUGCCCCUUAGCAACCAACACCGACACUUCCAUUCCGAUAAACCCGAUACUGCGAAACCAUGCAGCGCGUUCGGUUCGGUGAUAACUAUAACAAUUUUAAAUUAAUUUUCUACCUGGGUGGCACGGCAUGUCAAUUAAUUCACCUGGGUGAGUGUGACGUGCAGGACAGCGCCGCAAAACCUCCGCCGGCUCUGGGGCGUAGAGUUGCGCCGUUGCGGCGUCAGCAUCCUCGAGCUGUGCACUGGUGCGGAUUCCUUCACCCUCAAUACGUGUGUGUGUACUUCAGAUACUCCAUCCAACGGGUUCGAGGUAAGGGAGACGGCAAUAUGGAGCAGAGAGUCUCGGGGCAGGCGGCUGUUGCGGCUAGUUCUCCCCAGUAUUGCCACCGCAUCUGAUGACGCUGAUGGAGUUUCGGAUCAUAGUUUGGGCUCGGGUGAAAUUCAAGCCGUUUUCUUGCUAGAAUAUGCCCCCGACCAGGGGCUACGCUGGGGACCCGGGGGUUAACGGGCGGGUUCCUGAGAGGUUAAAUGCAAUAUGUGAUAUGUGCAGCAGCAGCAAAAAAAAAAGAAAACCCCCCACAAGAGGAGUAAACCAUCGUGUAAGUGUCACAUAACGAGGCUGGCGGGGUGAGAGGACCGGGAUAGCGUGGGACAAGGGUAAAAUGAAAUUGAUGAAACGAAACCCUGGGCUAGGUCCCUCCAGAGCACACAUGACGGGGGCCGUUAAUAGCCGUGUCGAGCGUACUGGAGCGCUCCCAAGUAACGGUAGCUCGCUGUGAAAGUGAGCUUCAGCGAGAAGCGAGGACACAGCAAUCCUGAGGACGAUAGCAGGCAACGGCAACGGCAAAAAAUGGCGAACGAAUCACUGCCGGUGACAAUAGGUGGCAAACAAAACAAAAAAAAACCCUCUUCUGCCGGGCGAGCAAAUAACGCAAAAACAAGACAAGAGCGCCAUGUCCUGUGGAUGCCCUGAAGGUUUAGGAUGUUUGAUGGUAACGGAUCAGGUACCUGAUCCGUCAACCGACACACGGAUGCGCACCACACUGCUGCGCUCGGCCAUCCUGAACAACGUGACGGUGUCCGGGUUUUUUUUUCCUGGUGAAUAUCCCCAACGCCUGACAGCGAUAUCGAUGAUACCGAUACACCUAUCGGGCUGUCACCGCAAUCCUUCCCGAAGCCGAAUCCCGACCGAAGACAGGGCAAGCAACAUCCACCCCAC